UAAUACGUAGGGGGCGAGCGUUGUCCGGAAUUACUGGGCGUAAAGCGCGCGUAGGUGGCUUGUUAAGACCGAUGUGAAAUCUCCGCGCUUACCGUGGAGAGGUCGUUGGUGACUGGCAGGCUUGGGUUUGGCAGAGGUGAGUGGAAUUCCGGGUGGAGCGGUGAAAUGCGUAGAGAUCCGGAGGAACACCAGUGGCGAAGGCGGCUCACUGGGCCAACACCGACGCUGAGGCGCGAAAGCGUGGGGAGCGAACCGGAUUAGAUACCCGGGUAGUCCACGCCCUAAACGAUGGGUACUAGGCGUGCGGGGUAUCGACCCCCUGCGUGCCGAAGCUAACGUGAGAAGUACCCCGCCUGGGGAGUACGGCCGCAAGGUUG
rnacentral:rRNA from 1 species